rnacentral:rRNA from 1 species
GUAGGUGGCAAGCGUUGUCCGGAAUUAUUGGGCGUAAAGCGCGCGCAGGCGGUCCUUUAAGUCUGAUGUGAAAGCCCACGGCUCAACCGUGGAGGGUCAUUGGAAACUGGGGGACUUGAGUACAGAAGAGGAAAGCGGAAUUCCAAGUGUAGCGGUGAAAUGCGUAGAGAUUUGGAGGAACACCAGUGGCGAAGGCGGCUUUCUGGUCUGUAACUGACGCUGAGGCGCGAAAGCGUGGGGAGCAAACAGGAUUAGAUACCCUGGUAGUCCACGCCGUAAACGAUGAGUGCUAAGUGUUAGGGGGUUUCCCGCCCCCCUUAGUGCUGCAGCUAACGCAUUAAGCACUCCGCCUGGGGAGUACGGCCGCAAGGCUGG